rnacentral:misc_RNA from 1 species
GAUGAAGAACGUAGCGAAAUGCGAUAAGUAAUGCGAAUUGCAGAAUCCGUGAAUCAUCGAAUCUUUGAACGCACAUUGCGCCCGGUAGUAUUCUGCCGGGCAUGCCUGUUCGAGCGUCAUUUCAACCAUCAAGCCCCAGCGCUUGUGUUGGGGGCCUGCGGCUGCCGCAGCCCCCUAAAAGCAGUGGCGGGCUCGCUAUCACACCGAGUGCAGUAGUUCAUCUUCUCUCCGGUCUUGUGAGGCGGGUUCCGGCCGUGAAACACCCCACUACAUUCAAGGUUGACCUCGGAUCAGGUAGGAAUACCCGCUGAACUUAAGCAUAUCAAUAAGCGGAGGA